UACGGAGGGUGCAAGCGUUGCUCGGAAUACUGGGCGUAAAGCGUACGCAGGCGGUUUGAUCAGUCGGAUGUGAAAGCCCAGGGCUCAACCCUGGAACUGCAUUCGAAACUGUCAAACUUGAGUGCGGGAGAGGGAAGCGGAAUUCCUGGUGUAGAGGUGAAAUUCGUAGAUAUCAGGAGGAACACCGGCGGCGAAAGCGGCUUCCUGGCCCGAUACUGACGCUCAUGUACGAAAGCGUGGGGAGCAAACA
rnacentral:rRNA from 1 species